rnacentral:rRNA from 1 species
UACAGAGGGUGCAAGCGUUGUUCGGAAUUAUUGGGCGUAAAGCGCGUGUAGGCGGCUUUGCAAGUCGGGUGUGAAAGCCCUCAGCUUAACUGAGGAAGUGCGCCCGAAACUGCUUAGCCUUGAGUGCCGGAGAGGAUGGCGGAAUUCCCCAAGUAGAGGUGAAAAUUCCGUAGAUAUGGGGAGGAACACCGGUGGCGAAGG